GAAAAUAACUGUGUUUGGACAUAACAUCUAAACAUCUUUAGCAUGCAUGUGUGUAUCUAUAUGUAAUUAAAAUUAGGUCAUUAGGGUGGGCUUUAAUCCAAUAUGACUGGUGUCCUUACAAAAAUAGAAAUUUGAACACAGCCACAUACAGGAGGAAUAUGAUGUGAAGACAAAGGGAGAAGACAGCCAUCUAUAAGCUAAGGACAUGGACCUGGAACACAUCCUUCCCUCCCAGCCCUCAGACAGAACCAACUCUGUAGAUCAACCAACACCUUGACUUUCAGCCUCCAGAACUUCGAUAAGGAAAAAGAUUGACAAAAGAAACUAUAAGCAAGCAUGCUGUUUUGAGUCGCCGGAGGAUAGAGACGGCCCAAGAAGAAUUUCAAGAGAACUGCUAAUGAGAAACCUUCCGUGGUGAGACUUGAACUGACAAGCUAUUCCCCCAGGCUCCUCGGGAACAUCUCAUAACUAAUCGGGACAUUCCAUCAAGACCACAUGCACAGGGCCACAGCCUAGACAGCAGAGCAUCCAAACCGCCAAAGAAAAUGUUGAGGCUGCACCAAUAAGGGACUUUGUGCAAUGCCUCUUUUAUUGAAAAAAUCUAUUUAAAUGAAAUCUUUCUAGGACAUUAUGUCAAAACUGCAACUGGAAACGUCUGCUUUUCUCACCUGGAAGAAUUGCCCCUAUUAAACCAUAGUAACUAUAAACAGUAAUUAUGUAUAGCUGUGCAUAAGCAUGCAAGUGUGUAUCUAUAGGUAACCAUUUAUUUAACAAUAUAUAUUAAGCACCUUGUGUGUACCAAGUACUGUUUUUUGUUGUUGUUAGUUUGUUUUUGAGAUAGAGGCUCACUGUG
rnacentral:lncRNA from 10 species